rnacentral:rRNA from 1 species
GGGCAAGCGUUGUCCGGAUUUAUUGGGCGUAAAGAGCUCGUAGGUGGUUCGGUAAGUCGGAUGUGAAAUCUCCAGGCUCAACCUGGAGGGGUCAUUCGAUACUGCCGUGACUAGAGGUCGGUAGGGGAGUGUGGAAUUCCUGGUGGAGCGGUGAAAUGCGCAGAUAUCAGGAGGAACACCGAUGGCGAAGGCAGGUCUCUGGGCAUUAACUGACGCUGAGGAGCGAAAGCAUGGGGAGCGAACAGG